UAGGGAAUCUUCCACAAUGGACGAAAGUCUGAUGGAGCAACGCCGCGUGAGUGAAGAAGGGUUUCGGCCCGUAAAACUCUGUUGUUAAAGAAGAACAUAUCUGAGAGUAACUGUUCAGGUAUUGACGGUAUUUAACCAGAAAGCCACGGCUAACUACGUGCCAG
rnacentral:rRNA from 1 species